rnacentral:rRNA from 1 species
GUGGGGAAUUUUGGACAAUGGGCGCAAGCCUGAUCCAGCAAUGCCGCGUGCAGGAAGAAGGCCUUCGGGUUGUAAACUGCUUUUGUACGGAACGAAACGGUCCGGGUUAAUACCCUGGGCUAAUGACGGUACCGUAAGAAUAAGCACCGGCUAACUACGUGCCAGCAGCCGCGGUAAUACGUAGGGUGCAAGCGUUAAUCGGAAUUACUGGGCGUAAAGCGUGCGCAGGCGGUUUUGUAAGACAGUGGUGAAAUCCCCGGGCUCAACCUGGGAACUGCCAUUGUGACUGCAAGGCUAGAGUGCGGCAGAGGGGGAUGGAAUUCCGCGUGUAGCAGUGAAAUGCGUAGAUAUGCGGAGGAACACCGAUGGCGAAGGCAAUCCCCUGGGCCUGCACUGACGCUCAUGCACGAAAGCGUGGGGAGCAAACAGGAUUAGAUACCCUUGUAGUCC